rnacentral:rRNA from 1 species
UAACGCGAAGGAACCUUACCAAAUCUUGACAUCCUUUGAAAACUCUAGAGAUAGAGCCUUCCCCUUCGGGGGACAAAGUGACAGGUGGUGCAUGGUUGUCGUCAGCUCGUGUCGUGAGAUGUUGGGUUAAGUCCCGCAACGAGCGCAACCCUUAAGCUUAGUUGCCAUCAUUAAGUUGGGCACUCUAGGUUGACUGCCGGUGACAAACCGGAGGAAGGUGGGGAUGACGUCAAAUCAUCAUGCCCCUUAUGAUUUGGGCUACACACGUGCUACAAUGGACAAUACAAAGGGCAGCUAAACCGCGAGGUCAUGCAAAUCCCAUAAAGUUGUUCUCAGUUCGGAUUGUAGUCUGCAACUCGACUACAUGAAGCUGGAAUCGCUAGUAAUCGUAGAUCAGCAUCCAAUCGAUUC